CCUACGGGAGGCAGCAGUAGGGAAUCUUCCACAAUGGGCGCAAGCCUGAUGGAGCAACACCGCGUGAGUGAAGAAGGGUUUCGGCUCGUAAAGCUCUGUUGUUGGAGAAGAACGUGCGUGAGAGUAACUGUUCACGCAGUGACGGUAUCCAACCAGAAAGUCACGGCUAACUACGUGCCAGCAGCCGCGGUAAUACGUAGGUGGCAAGCGUUAUUCGGAUUUAUUGGGCGUAAAGCGAGCGCAGGCGGUUGCUUAGGUCUGAUGUGAAAGCCUUCGGCUUAACCGAAGAAGUGCAUCGGAAACCGGGCAACUUGAGUGCAGAAGAGGACAGUGGAACUCCAUGUGUAGCGGUGGAAUGCGUAGAUAUAUGGAAGAACACCAGUGGCGAAGGCGGCUGUCUGGUCUGCAACUGACGCUGAGGCUCGAAAGCAUGGGUAGCGAACAGGAUUAGAUACCCGGGUAGUC
rnacentral:rRNA from 1 species